rnacentral:rRNA from 1 species
CUGACGGAACUCUUCGGAGGGAAGGCAGUGGAAUGAGCGGCGGACGGGUGAGUAACACGUAAGGAACCUGCCUCAAGGAUUGGGAUAACUCCGAGAAAUCGGAGCUAAUACCGGAUAGUUCAACGGACCGCAUGGUCCGCUGAUGAAAGGCGCUCCGGCGUCACCUUGAGAUGGCCUUGCGGUGCAUUAGCUAGUUGGUGGGGUAACGGCCCACCAAGGCGACGAUGCAUAGCCGACCUGAGAGGGUGAUCGGCCACACUGGGACUGAGACACGGCCCAGACUCCUACGGGAGGCAGCAGUAGGGAAUCUUCCACAAUGGACGAAAGUCUGAUGGAGCAACGCCGCGUGAGUGAUGAAGGUUUUCGGAUCGUAAAACUCUGUUGUAAGGGAAGAACACGUACGAGAGGGAAUGCUCGUACCUUGACGGUACCUUACGAGAAAGCCACGGCUAACUACGUGCCAGCAGCCGCGGUAAUACGUAGGUGGCAAGCGUUGUCCGGAAUUAUUGGGCGUAAAGCGCGCGCAGGCGGCCUUUUAAGUCUGAUGUGAAAGCCCCCGGCUCAACCGGGGAGGGCCAUUGGAAACUGGAAGGCUUGAGUACAGAAGAGAAGAGUGG